rnacentral:rRNA from 1 species
UGCAAGUCCGACGGCAGCGCGGGGCAACCUGGCGGCGAGUGGCGAACGGGUGAGUAAUAUAUCGGAACGUACCCUGGAGUGGGGGAUAACGUAGCGAAAGUUACGCUAAUACCGCAUACGAUCUAAGGGUGAAAGUGGGGGAUUCGCAAGAACCUCAUGCUCCUGGAGCGGCCGAUAUCUGAUUAGCUAGUUGGUAGGGUAAAAGCCUACCAAGGCAUCGAUCAGUAGCUGGUCUGAGAGGACGACCAGCCACACUGGAACUGAGACACGGUCCAGACUCCUACGGGAGGCAGCAGUGGGGAAUUUUGGACAAUGGGCGCAAGCCUGAUCCAGCAAUGCCGCGUGAGUGAAGAAGGCCUUCGGGUUGUAAAGCUCUUUUGUCAGGGAAGAAACGGUGUUUUCUAAUACAGAGCUCUAAUGACGGUACCUGAAGAAUAAGCACCGGCUAACUACGUGCCAGCAGCCGCGGUAAUACGUAGGGUGCAAGCGUUAAUCGGAAUUACUGGGCGUAAAGCGUGCGCAGGCGGUUUUGUAAGACUGUCGUGAAAUCCCCGGGCUCAACCUGGGAAUGGCGAUGGUGACUGCAAGGCUAGAGUUUGGCAGAGGGGGGUAGAAUUCCACGUGUAGCAGUGAAAUGCGUAGAUAUGUGGAGGAACACCGAUGGCGAAGGCAGCCCCCUGGGUCAAAACUGACGCUCAUGCACGAAAGCGUGGGGAGCAAACAGGAUUAGAUACCCUGGUAGUCCACGCCCUAAACGAUGUCUACUAGUUGUCGGGUUUUAAUUAACUUGGUAACGCAGCUAACGCGUGAAGUAGACCGCCUGGGGAGUACGGUCGCAAGAUUAAAACUCAAAGGAAUUGACGGGGACCCGCACAAGCGGUGGAUGAUGUGGAUUAAUUCGAUGCAACGCGAAAAACCUUACCUACCCUUGACAUGGCAGAAAUCCUCGAGAGAUUGAGGAGUGCUCGAAAGAGAAUCUGCACACAGGUGCUGCAUGGCUGUCGUCAGCUCGUGUCGUGAGAUGUUGGGG